rnacentral:rRNA from 1 species
UACGAAGGGGGCUAGCGUUGUUCGGAAUUACUGGGCGUAAAGCGCACGCAGGCGGAUUGAUUAGUCGGGGGUGAAAUCCCGGGGCUCAACCUCGGAAUUGCCUUCGAUACUGUCAGUCUUGAGUCCGGGAGAGGUGAGUGGAAUUCCUAGUGUAGAGGUGAAAUUCGUAGAUAUUAGGAAGAACACCAGUGGCGAAGGCGGCUCACUGGCCCGGUACUGACGCUCAUGUGCGAAAGCAUGGGGAGCGAACAGG